UAACUAUUUUUCUUUAGAUCUGCUAUGCAAUCUGUGUGUUCUCUAUAAGAUGUGAAACUAUACCGUGCAUAUGUACACUUUGCUCUCUCUAUAAAUAUACAUGUGCAUGACACAUUUCUGAAAGCAGUAAAUGAGUGCUGGGGAAAUACAGAAACAAUGAAGUUCCUAAGAGAGGCUUAUUUUUUCAAGUUAUUAAAAGAAGGUGGCAAGCAUUCAUGAGGAUAUGAAAAUUUAAAGCCGUCUGCAGGAAACUCUGAAAACCUCUGGUUAAGGCUGCUGCCAAAAAAUCUCAGCUAUGUUAUGUCAGAAUGUUUAAUUGCAAGCUGCAGUUUUAAUGAAUGGAAAGAUAUGGCAAAAGCAGGAAGUUUCUGAAGCAACAGAGCGACCAAGAAAAUAAAAUACCAAAGGUUGUAAUCUUGAAUGCUGUUGGAAGCAGGAAUUUCCAUCCACGCUCCGAAUCCUUUUCCUACUGCGCAGAAUUUGCCAGCUGUCUGGCUGAGGGGAGAGGUAAGCUGUUCUGGAUAUCAUCUCCUGGGCUCAGGGCAGCACUUGUUAAGUCUACGUGAAGAAGUCAACUUCUUUACAUUUGUCAUUAUGGGUGUUUACAGAAAUGCAUCUUAGGAAUAAGGGGAGGAAAGGCAAAUGUCAGAGUGCAUUAAAUAACAUAUUUUCUUUACUUUCCAAGAAGCUCGCUCACAGCAUGAUGUUACUAUUUAUAUCCAAUCUCUUAAACCCAGCUGUUGGUUCAUGUUAGCAUGCAGAAUGGUGAGAAAAUCCCAGCAGAAGAGCGCGAAUCCCAGGGAGACUUGUGUUCUGUCAUUGUGAGGACCUAGAAAACAUCCCAAGUUUUGCUGAGGACACAAGAUGAAAAAGCUGAUUUCUGGAAUAUAAGGAACAUUUGAAAGGAGGCCUGAGGAACAGCCGUGGUACAGCUCUGGAGUGUUUUCUAAGAAGGUCCUAAAACAGAAAGCACCUUUGAUUCUCGUGUCCUGAAGCAGAGACAUGCACUCUCCAUUGGUGAUUUAGUGCUUUGAAAUGGUUCCCAUUGUUUCACUGCAAGGCUGUGGGAUAAAUGUGGAGAGGCUGUGGAGCGCAGAUGAUUUUUGGCAAGUAUCCUUUUUAUCAUCAAAAUUUUAUUUUCGGGUCAUUUUUCAACCGCUGCCUUCUGUGAAGGAGAAAGACGCCAAUUUUAUGUCUUUUAUUAUGCAUUCCAAAGUCGUCUUUUCUACUUAAAAUUAAUGGGAACUCUGACAAAGAUAACAUGAGGAACCAAGGUGGACUGUCUGUCACCUGAGCCUGGAAGUGAAGACAGAGCUCAUGUCCUCACAGAGCAGUGAU